rnacentral:rRNA from 1 species
UGGGGAAUAUUGGGCAAUGGGCGAAAGCCUGACCCAGCAACGCCGCGUGAAGGAUGAAGUAUUUCGGCACGUAAACAUCUUUUAUGUGGGAUGAAAUUAUUGACAGUACCACAUGAAUAAGGGGCUCCUAACUCUGUGCCAGCAGGAGCGGUAAUACAGAGGCCCCAAGCGUUAUCCGGAAUCACUGGGCGUAAAGGGUGUCGAGGCGGUUGUAUUAGUCGUUCGUAAAAUCUACGAGCUUAACUUGUAGGCGGCGAACGAAACGGUACGACUUGAGGUUUGGAGAGGUGCGUGGAACUCACGGUGUAGGGGUGAAAUCCGUUGAUAUCGUGGGGAACACCAAAGGCGAAGGCAGCGCACUGGCCAAAAUCUGACGCUCACACACGAAAGCUAGGGUAGCGAAGAGGAUUAGAUACCCAAGUAGUCCCUGAGCGGGCUGGCAAGGCGCAU